rnacentral:rRNA from 1 species
AACACAUGCAAGUCGAACGGUAGCACAGAGAGCUUGCUCUCGGGUGACGAGUGGCGGACGGGUGAGUAAUGUCUGGGAAACUGCCUGAUGGAGGGGGAUAACUACUGGAAACGGUAGCUAAUACCGCAUAACGUCGCAAGACCAAAGUGGGGGACCUUCGGGCCUCAUGCCAUCAGAUGUGCCCAGAUGGGAUUAGCUUGUAGGUGAGGUAACGGCUCACCUAGGCGACGAUCCCUAGCUGGUCUGAGAGGAUGACCAGCCACACUGGAACUGAGACACGGUCCAGACUCCUACGGGAGGCAGCAGUGGGGAAUAUUGCACAAUGGGCGCAAGCCUGAUGCAGCCAUGCCGCGUGUAUGAAGAAGGCCUUCGGGUUGUAAAGUACUUUCAGCGAGGAGGAAGGCGAUAAGGUUAAUAACCUUGUCGAUUGACGUUACUCGCAGAAGAAGCACCGGCUAACUCCGUGCCAGCAGCCGCGGUAAUACGGAGGGUGCAAGCGUUAAUCGGAAUUACUGGGCGUAAAGCGCACGCAGGCGGUCUGUCAAGUCGGAUGUGAAAUCCCCGGGCUCAACCUGGGAACUGCAUCCGAAACUGGCAGGCUAGAGUCUUGUAGAGGGGGGUAGAAUUCCAGGUGUAGCGGUGAAAUGCGUAGAGAUCUGG